AUUUGCAUAUUUGUCUAUUAUUAGGUAGGAUUGGAAUGAUACAGAGAUUAGCAUGGCCCCUGCGCAAGGAUGAUACGCAAAUUCGUGAAGCGUUCCAUAUUUUU